rnacentral:RNase_P_RNA from 1 species
GGAGAGGGCCGGAGGGCCGCGGUCGCGCUCAUGCUCCGGCGUAAGGCGGAGUGGGGCGCGGCCGAGGAAAGUCCGGACUCCACAGGGCAGGCCGCUGGACAAGGGCCUAAGUGAGAUAAGGUCCAAGUCCAGGAGGGGUGACCCUCGGGUAAGGCCACAGAAACCAGACCGCCUCCUCUCUUCCGGGGAGGCAAGGGUGAAAGGGUGGCCGCACAAGUACAAGCAUGAGCGUGAGCGGCCUAAGGGGUAAGAGCCCACCGCCGGCCUGGGUGACCGGGCCGGGUCUGGCAGCCCCCCGGCCGGAGCAAGGUCAAGUAGGGAGGAAGAUGAGGGUGGCCCGCCCUCUUGCCUCCGGGUGGACCGCGGAGAUAGAUGGCCCUCUUAAAAACAGAAUCCGGCUUAUGGCCCUCUCCCUCU